rnacentral:rRNA from 1 species
UACGUAGGGUGCGAGCGUUAAUCGGAAUUACUGGGCGUAAAGCGUACGCAGGCGGCUUUGCAAGACAGGUGUGAAAUCCCCGGGCCUAACCUGGGAACUGCAUUUGUGACUGCAUGGCUAGAGUUUGUCAGAGGGGGGGUGGAAUUCCACGUGUAGCAGUGAAAUGCGUAGAUAUGUGGAGGAACACCGAUGGCGAAGGCAGCCCCCUGGGAUGUGACUGACGCUCAUGUACGAAAGCGUGGGGAGCAAACAGG